GAUGAACGCUGGCGGCGUGCCUAAUACAUGCAAAUCGAGCGAACGGACGAGAAGCUUGCUUUUCUGAUUUUAGCGGCGGACGGGUGAGUAACACGUGGAUAACCUACCUAUAAGACUGGGAUAACGUUGGGAAACCGGGGCUAAUACCGGAUAAUAUUUUGAACUUCAUGGUUCAAAAAUUAAAGACGGUCUUGCUGUCACUUAUCGCUGGCUCCGCGCUGCAUUAGCUAGUUGGUAAGGUAACGGCUUACCAAGGCAACGAUGCAUAGCCGACCUGAGAGGGUGAUCGGCCACACUGGAACUGAGACACGGUCCAGACUCCUACGGGAGGCAGCAGUAGGGAAUCUUCCGCAAUGGGCGAAAGCCUGACGGAGCAACGCCGCGUGAGUGAUGAAGGUCUUCGGAUCGUAAAACUCUGUUAUUAGGGAAGAACAUAUGUGUAAGUAACUGUGCACAUCUUGACGGUACCUAAUCAGAAAGCCACGGCUAACUACGUG
rnacentral:rRNA from 1 species